CUCACUGGACAAUGAAUGCAA
rnacentral:miRNA from 1 species